rnacentral:misc_RNA from 1 species
UCCGGUUUGGCACCGGCAGUCCUCCCAGAGUCCUCGGCUUUACCCGGUAGCAACUGGGAGCGGGGGUUGCGCUCGUUGCGGGACUUAACCCAACAUCUCACGACACGAGCUGACGACAGCCAUGCACCACCUGUGCACUGGUCCCGAAGGAAGCCCGUAUUUCUACGGCUUUCCAGUGCAUGUCAAGCCCAGGUAAGGUUCUUCGCGUUGCGUCGAAUUAAACCACAUGCUCCGCUGCUUGUGCGGGCCCCCGUCAAUUUCUUUGAGUUUUAGCCUUGCGGCCGUACUCCCCAGGCGGGGUGCUUAAUGCGUUAGCUGCGGCACAGAGGGCGUGGAAGCCCCCCACACCUAGCACCCACCGUUUACGGCGUGGACUAC